GACUUGGCGAGAAGUCCAUUGAACCUUAUCAUUUAGAGGAAGGAGAAGUCGUAACAAGGUUUCCGUAGGUGAACCUGCGGAAGGAUCAUUGUCGAGACCGUAGCAUACGCCGAGCGAUCCGGAGAACCCGUGAAAGCACUUGCGGCGGCCGCCGCGGAAUGGCCGUCCGGGCCGUCUCACCGUCUUCUUCUUUUGGGGGCAGGCGGUGCGGCGGAGGACGGAUGACAACACAAACCGGCGCAGCAUCGCGCCAAGGGAAACUCGAAGGGCACGAGCCCCGCGUUGGGCUCGAUGGCGUGGAGUGCUGUGGCACGCCACGCGGCAGUCGGACACGACUCUCGGCAAUGGAUAUCUCGGCUCUUGCAUCGAUGAAGAGCGCAGCGAAAUGCGAUACGUGGUGCGAAUUGCAGAAUCCCGCGAACCAUCGAGUCUUUGAACGCAAGUUGCGCCCGAGGCCAGCCGGCCGAGGGCACGUCCGCCUGGGCGUCAAGCUUCGCGUCGCUCCGUGCCAGCUCCGUUCCGCCAGAUGAGUGUGACGGCCGAGGCUCGGAAGCGCAGAGUGGCCCGUCGUGCCGGUCGGUGCGGCGGGCUAAAGAGCCCGCUGAUUCUCGCCGUACGAGAACAACAAGGGGUGGGUGAAAGCUGUGAGCACAGCCCGUGUUGUCCCGUGCCGGUACGAGAGUUGUAUUUAUGCCCUGUAGGCGACCCCGACCCAAGCGCCGGCCGGUGAGCGUCGGCUUUGGAAUGCGACCCCAGGAUGGGCGAGGCCACCCGCCGAGUUUAAGCAUAUC
rnacentral:rRNA from 1 species